CACCUGCACCUCCUCCAACCUCAUCUAUUGCAUCCGCUGUUCUAGGUGUCAACUCUGUACAUCGGUUAGACCAAAUGUAGGCUUGGUAAUCGCUUCACCCAACACCUCUGCUCAGUUCGCAAUAACCAACCUGAUCUCCCGGUUUUUUUAAAGUAAAGGA